AACGAACGCUGGCGGCAUGCCUAACACAUGCAAGUCGAACGGACGGUAGCAAUACCGUUAGUGGCGGACGGGUGAGUAACGCGUGGGAACCUGCCUCGAAGUUCGGAAUAACCGCGGGAAACUGCGGCUAAUACCGGAUGUGGCCUGAGGGUCAAAGGCGCAAGUCGCUUCGAGAGGGGCCCGCGUCCGAUUAGCUAGUUGGUGGGGUAACGGCCUACCAAGGCGACGAUCGGUAGCUGGUCUGAGAGGAUGAUCAGCCACACUGGGACUGAGACACGGUCCGGACUCCUACGGGAGGCAGCAGUGGGGAAUAUUGGACAAUGGGGGAAACCCUGAUCCAGCGACGCCGCGUGGGUGAAGAAGGCCUGCGGGUUGUAAAGCCCUUUCAGUGGGGAAGAAAAGCCUCGACCUAACACGUCGGGGUCUUGACGUAACCCAUAGAAGAANCACCGGCUAACUCUGUGCCAGCAGCCGCCGU
rnacentral:rRNA from 1 species